rnacentral:rRNA from 1 species
CCUACGGGAGGCAGCAGUAGGGAAUUUUCGGCAAUGGGUGGAACCCUGACCGAGCAAUGCCGCGUGAAUGAAGAAGUCAUUCGUAAUGUAAAGUUCUUUUAACAGGGAAGAAAGAGAUAUUUGACGUUACCUGAAGAAUAAGCUCUGCCAAACUAGGUGCCAGCAGCCGCGGUAAUACGUAGGGACCGGGCGUUACCCGGAUUCAUUGGGCGAAAAGGGUGCGUAGAUGGGAUAGUAGGUCGUUGGUAAAAAUGAUGGCCUCAACCCAGUAGGGCAAAAGAUACUGUAAAGCUAGAGUAUGGCAGAGGUGAGUGGAACUACAGGUGUAGCGGUAAAAUGCGUAGAGAUAUGUAAGAACACCAGUGGCGAAGGCGGCUUGCUGGAUCGAUACUGACAUUGAGGCACGAAAGCGUGGGUAGCAAACAGGAUUAGAUACCCCUGUAGUC